rnacentral:tRNA from 1 species
GCGCCUGUCGUUCAAUGGAUAGGACAAUAGUCUUCGGAACUAUUGAUGUGGGUUCGAUUCCUGCCAGGCGCA